rnacentral:tRNA from 1 species
GCCUUUGGAGUGUAGUGGUCAGCACGCUUGGCGUGUUAUCGAGAGGUCUGUGGUUCGAGUCCAGGCGAGGGCG